UUUUCUUUUGCACUCCGACGUGUGAACAUCGAAGCUCUCUCUUUCUAAAAGUGAAACUUUAUCAAUUAAUAUUUUCGAUAGUUUUAUAAUUAUUUAAGCAAUAUAUAAUAUACACGGAGUGCAUUAAACUAAAUAAUAUUUAAACAAUUAAAUAUUACACGAUCUUAGAUAGGGCUUAUAGAUAUAGGCCCUUGAAAAAAGGUUCUUAAGAAGGGCUUUAGAAUGGAUCUUUCAAUAAGAAAACAUCGUACUGGUUUUUAGAUCGAGUAACUGAUGAACAUUCGUAAAAACACUUCGAAUCGCAAGUGCCUGAAUAGCUCAGUCGGUAGAGCAUCAGACUUUUAAUCUGAGGGUCCAGGGUUCGAGUCCCUGUUCGGGCGAAUUUUUUUUUUUCUUUAGAAUGAUAGAAUCAUAGAUUUAUAGAAUACUAGCAAUUUUCAAUAUAAUCAGUAAAAGUAUAUAUAUAUAUGUCAAGUAAAAAAAAAAAAAAAUAUUAAAAAUAAUAGAAAAAAAUUCUAACCAAAAUAUGAAGUAUCACGUUAUAUUUAUCUUUUAUUCAUUUACAUGUCACGAUGGCUCAUUAUUAAUGUUUUAAUACAAAAUUACAUACACAAAUAUUUCCCAUGGCUCUAUUAACAAAUAUAUUGAAAGUACGUUUUUAAGUACAAUGUAGAAAAUAAAUUUUCAUUAAAAUAUCCAUAAUAUAUAUAUAUAUAUAUAUAAAAAAAAAAAACAUCAUAAAUUCGAUAAAAACAAUUGUAAUAUAAAUCAGUCGAUAUAAAAUGCCUAACAAUAUUUUACAAUGACUACAUAAUAUGAGAAAAAAUUAUAUAUUUAAAGGCAAGAUCUGAAUUUCGAUAAAUUCUGAUAAAACCAUAUUAUGUAAUAUGGAGAAUAACAUUUGUCUAGAUGCACAAUAAUUUUUUUAUGGUUGUUCCUUGAUACUCCCAUCUGUCAUACCAAAAUAUGCUUUAUUUGCCAUUUUAAUAAAAAGACCUGUCUCCACUACUCCAGGCAUCAAUAAAAUUUCUUCAUUAAUUUUAUUCCAAUCACUCAAAUCUUGUGGAAAAUGCCAAUCCAAAAUAAAAUUACCAUUGUCGGUUAUAACAGGUCCCUGCAAUUCAAAAAAAAAAAAAAAGGAAAA